AUUGAGCUAAGAACAGCCCAGUAACUAAGGUAUAACACAAACCACUACUGCUACCACCAAUAAUAAUAACGAUAAGGGAAAUAACAAGGGAAGAGAAUAUAUCUGCUCACUGCCCACCAACUGAUACCCAGCCUGACCUGAGCAGUGACCUAACCCUUCUGGGUAAUUGCCCCCAGUUUAUAUACUGGGCAUGAUGUGCUGUGGUAUGGAAUACCUCUUUGGUUAGCCUGGGUCAGGUGUCCUGUCUCUGCUUACUCCUGGCUUCCCCUCCUUCCUGACAGAGCAUGAGACUCGGAAAUGUCCUUGGUCAGACCAAACCUUCUUGAGCAACAACUAAAAACAUCGGUGUUAUCAGCGCUGUUCCCAGACUGAAAGUCAAACCCACAGCACUGCACCAGCUACUAAGAAGGAGAAAAAUGACUGCUACUGCUGAACCCAGGACACAAGGCAACCCAGAUGGAUAGCUUGCCACUCGAGAUGUCUGGAAAGAUGCAGCAAGGAAGACUUUCUCCCCCAGGGCUUUUUUUGACUGCUGGUGAGACUAUUCAGAGAUUGCUAUGAAGCCUCUGUUGCAUAUGCCUUCCACUUGUGCCCUGAUCAAGUCACAGGAAAGGGCUCCGUCUCUGAAGAUUAUGGGCUGCCUGGAAUGAAUUUGUCUUCCCACCACCUGCACAUUGGUCAGAUAAAGCCUCAAGUCUAUGCUGAGAUGCUGAACAGUGUAUUGUGGCAUUUGGGACAGUGCAUCUCCCAGACAGAGGAGCUUCUUGCUGACCUCUCAGUGGUACCCAAAGGUGAGUUCUGCAGCCUCUGACUUGCUCCUUGGUAGUUUGGGCAGCAUGGCUGUAUCAUGUGUAAGUUUAUAGAACAGUUUGAGCUUUG
rnacentral:lncRNA from 1 species